GAUGAACGCUGGCGGCGUGCCUAAUACAUGCAAGUCGAGCGAACGGACGAGAAGCUUGCGCCCCUGAUUUUAGCGGCGGACGGGAGAGUCACAUGUGGUUAACCUAACUCUACGACUGGGGUAAUUUUGGCAAAUCGUAUCUAAUACCGGAUAAUAUUUUGCCUCGCAUUGUUCCAAAGUGAAAGACGGUCUUUCUUUCAGUAAUAGAUGACUCCGCGCUGCAUCAGUUAGUUGUCUAGGUAACGGGUUACCAAGGCAAGGAUGGAUAGCCGACCCCAGAGGGAGAUCGGCCACCUUGGAACUGAGACAGAGUCCAGACUCCGAGACGAGGACGCAGUAGGGAAUCCUACGCGAGGGGGGAGUGGCUGACGGAGCAACGCCGCGUGAGUGAUGAACGUCUACGGCUCGUAAAACGCUGUAAUUAGGGGAGAACAAAAGUGUAAGUAACUGUGAACAUCAUGACGGUACCUAAUGAAAAAGCCACGGCUAACUCCGUG
rnacentral:rRNA from 1 species